GUUGGCGAUAUACUGUCAGCGGCCAAGCGAAAGUAUUAAGUGAUGCACCUGGGGAGUACGCCGGCAACGGUGAAACUCAAAGGAAUUGACGGGGGCCCGCACAAGCGGUGGAGCAUGUGGUUUAAUUCGAUGAUACGCGAGGAACCUUACCAGGGCUUAAAUGUAGUAUGACCGGCUUAGAAAUAGGCCUUCUCUUCGGAGCAGAUUACAAGGUGCUGCAUGGUUGUCGUCAGCUCGUGCCGUGAGGUGUUAGGUUAAGUCCUGCAACGAGCGCAACCCCUAUUCUUAGUUGCCAGCGGUUCGGCCGGGGACUCUAAGAAGACUGCCAGCGCAAGCUGAGAGGAAGGUGGGGAUGACGUCAAAUCAUCACGGCCCUUACGUCCUGGGCUACGCACGUGCUACAAUGGUAGAGACAGAGGGCAGCCACCUGGUGACAGGGAGCGAAUCCUUAAACUCUAUCUCAGUUCGGAUCGAAGUCUGCAACUCGACUUCGUGAAGCUGGAAUCGCUAGUAAUCGCGCAUCAGCCAUGGCGCGGUGAAUACGUUCCCGGGCCUUGUACACACCGCCCGUCAAGCCAUGGAAGCUGGGGGCACCUGAAGUCGGUAACCGUAAGGAGCCGCCUAGGGUGAAACUGGUAACUAGGGCU
rnacentral:rRNA from 1 species